GUGGGGAAUAUUGGACAAUGGGGGGAACCCUGAUCCAGCCAUGCCGCGUGUGUGAAGAAGGCCUUUUGGUUGUAAAGCACUUUAAGCGAGGAGGAGGCGCCCUAGAUUAAUACUCUAGGAGCGUGGACGUUACUCGCAGAAUAAGCACCGGCUAACUCUGUGCCAGCAGCCGCGGUAAUACAGAGGGUGCGAGCGUUAAUCGGAUUUACUGGGCGUAAAGCGUACGUAGGCGGCUUUUUAAGUCGGAUGUGAAAUCCCUGAGCUUAACUUAGGAAUUGCAUUCGAUACUGGGAAGCUAGAGUAUGGGAGAGGAUGGUAGAAUUCCAGGUGUAGCGGUGAAAUGCGUAGAGAUCUGGAGGAAUACCGAUGGCGAAGGCAGCCAUCUGGCCUAAUACUGACGCUGAGGUGCGAAAGCAUGGGGAGCAAACAGGAUUAGAAACCCUAGUAGUCC
rnacentral:rRNA from 1 species